GACGAACGCUGGCGGCGUGCUUAACACAUGCACGUCGAACGAAGUGGCGAACGUGUGAGUAAUACGUGGGUAACCUGCCCUCCUUUUUGGGAUGAGCCUUGGAAACGGGGUCUAAUACCGAAUAAAGGGGGAGGGGCUCGCGGCCUAUCAGCUUGUUGGUGGGGUGAUGGCCUACCAAGGCGGUGACGGGUUGCCGGCCUGAGAGGGUGACCGGCAACAUUGGGACUGGGAUACGGGCCAGGCUCCUACGGGAGGGAGUAGUGGGGGAUAUUGCACAAGGGGCGAACGCCUGAUGCAGCGACGCCGCGUGGGGGAUGAAGGCUUUCGGGUUGUAAACCUGUUUCGCUAUCGAAGGGGUAGGUGGAGAAGAAGCGCAGGCUAACUACGUGCCAGCAGCCGCGGUAAUAC
rnacentral:rRNA from 1 species